ensembl:lncRNA
GUACGAUGAACCUCUCCCCCCUUCCUCCCCGAUGCUAGGCAAUGCUCUUCAGAAUCAGGCGCUACGUGGAGCCUCGUUUGGAAGCCCGGCAUUACAGCGUCGUGGGAACCCGUACGGUCCAGUGGUGACCCAAUACGACUACCACUCCGAGCCCGGCCCAUCCCCUCUACUCCACAAUGCCCUGCAGAACGCCAACAUGAGGAACGCCUCCUUUGGAACCCCGAUGCUCCAGCGCCGAGGGGGCAACCCCUUCGGACCCGUUGUCCCUAACUACUACGGAGCGUUGCAGAACCCACAGAUGCGACAGAUGGUUCAAUCCCGGGGUGGCCUCCUUCCGCUCCGUUCCCCCUACGGACCGCUACAACCUGAGCCACGGUUUGGCAACUCCCUCCAGAACCACAGAGUCCAUGGGACGAUGGUCACAGAUCCACCGAACCUAGCGGCGGCUCUCAUGAACCCGGCACUAAAGACGGCAUCGUACACCUUACCGGACGGUACCAUCGCUAUCGGACCCCAGCAGCAGAAGAAUCCGAAUCUCUCUGCGGCAUUAUUGAACCCUUACCUUAAAUCAGCGUCGUAUACUCUACCAGACGGUACCAUUAUCAUAGACCCCAGGAAACCGGUCUCACCGUCCCUCGGCCGCGCGCUCCAGAACCCAGCAAUGAUGAACACUUCCUACACUCUGCCGGACGGAACCAUUAGAGACCCCAAUGCUCCCAUCUCUCCUAACCUGUCUUCCGCGUUAAACAACCCUCACCUGAAAUCAGCCUCGUAUACGCUCCCUGACGGUUCGAUUAUCAUCGACCCCAGGAAACCCAGAUCUCCGAACCUCCUGGCGGCGUUAUCCAACCCGUACCUGAAGACGAUCUCCUACGAGCUCCCAGACGGUUCUAUAAUCAUCGAUCCGCGGAAACCCACCUCGCCCAAUCUGUCCUCGGCACUCCUGAACCCGGCGAUGCGGAAUGCCAGCUACGCCCUAGAAGGAACUGUGAUCACCGAUCCCAACGCUCCGAUCUCUCCGAACCUGUCUUCCGCAUUGAUGAACCCACACCUGAAGUCAGCCUCCUACACGCUACCGGACGGUUCUAUCAUCAUCGACCCACGGAAACCCCGGUCCCCGAACCUGCUGGCAGCUCUACAGAACCCGUAUCUGAAGUCAGUAUCUUACGAACUGCCUGAUGGAAGCGUCAUCAUCGAUCCUCGUAAGCCUCGCGGGCCAGACCUGUCGGGAGCCCUGUCAGGCGCCCUGUCGCAGAACCAGGACCUGAUUAAUCAGAAACGGUACCGACUUGGGGACGGAGCCCUUGUGAUCCCUGGGCAAAAGCCCCGCCUCGGCGUCGCCCUGAUGAACCAGAACAUGAGGAAGGUGGACUAUCGUCUAGGUGACAGCGGGGCGCUGUCCGUCCGGCCCACCAACCCCAGGCUCUCUGAGGCGUUGCAGGAGAACCGGGAUCUCCUGAGCCCAAACCGGUACCGGCUGCCAGAACGCAAUACGCUGAUGCGGAAGUUUGGGAAUCCGUACCUGGACGAGGCCCUGCAGAACACACAGCACCUCCGUUAUGCAUCGUACAGACUGCCCCCGGGGCUUCAGGGGCAGGAUAACCGCUACGCUGUGGUUCCGCCGUACGGGCCGCGAUCUGGCCACUGGGCUGGCAACGCACGCUCCGGCCAGGAGGGGGAUGAUGUCUGGGCCUCCGAGAGGGUUCUACCGCACGGAACUGUGCAGAACCUCACCAAGUGGUCCAUGUACCGCGAGGUCAUGGAGUCGGAGGGCAUCACUCCCGCAGCACCGGGAAAACUGGAGGGAACGGGGGAACCGGACUGGAACCCUAAUAGAGAGGGGGAACCCAACAGCUGGUACGAGAAGAUCUACUCCAUCAGGUGUAUCCCCACGGUGCCUCACAGGGUGAAGCCUUGGGCGUACGGCAUGGAAGACAUGACACAGAUGGAGUAA